UACGUAGGGUGCAAGCGUUAAUCGGAAUUACUGGGCGUAAAGCGUGCGCAGGCGGUUUUGUAAGUCUGAUGUGAAAUCCCCGGGCUCAACCUGGGAAUUGCGAUGGAGACUGCAAGGCUAGAAUCUGGCAGAGGGGGGUAGAAUUCCACGUGUAGCAGUGAAAUGCGUAGAGAUGUGGAGGAACACCGAUGGCGAAGGGCAGCCCCCUGGGUCAAGAUUGACGCUCAUGCACGAAAGGCGUGGGGAGCAAACAGGAUU
rnacentral:rRNA from 1 species